rnacentral:rRNA from 1 species
AACCGACACAGGUGGGUGAGGAGAGUAUCCUAAGGCCAGCGAGAGAACUGUUGUUAAGGAACUCGGCAAAAUGACCCCGUAACUUAGGGAUAAGGGGUGCCACCAUCAGGUGGCCGCAGAGAAUAGGUCCAAGCGACUGUUUACCAAAAACAUAGGUUUCUGCUAAGUCGCAAGACGAUGUAUAGGAGCUGACGCCUGCCCGGUGCUGGAAGGUUAAGGGGAUCUGUUAGAGCAAUCGAAGCAGUGAACUUAAGC